rnacentral:rRNA from 1 species
AACGAACGCUGGCGGCAUGCCUAACACAUGCAAGUCGAACGAGACCUUCGGGUCUAGUGGCGCACGGGUGCGUAACGCGUGGGAACCUGCCCUUAGGUUCGGAAUAACUCCCCGAAAGGGGUGCUAAUACCGGAUAAUGUCUUCGGACCAAAGAUUUAUCGCUUUUGGAUGGGCCCGCGUUGGAUUAGCUGGUUGGUAGUGUAAAAGCCUACCAAGGCGACGAUCCAUAGCUGGUCUGAGAGGAUGCUCAGCCACACUGGGACUGAGACACGGCCCAGACUCCUACGGGAGGCAGCAGUGGGGAAUAUUAGACAAUGGGCGAAAGCCUGAUCCAGCAAUGCCGCGUGAGUGAUGAAGGCCUUAGGGUUGUAAAGCUCUUUUACCCGGGAUGAUAAUGACAGUACCGGGAGAAUAAGCUCCGGCUAACUCCGUG